UACGUAGGGGGCAAGCGUUGUCCGGAAUCAUUGGGCGUAAAGAGCGCGUAGGCGGCCCGGUAAGUCCGCUGUGAAAGUCAAAGGCUCAACCUUUGAAUGUCAGCGGAUACUGCCGGGCUAGAGUCCGGAAGAGGCGAGUGGAACUCCUGGUGUAGCGGUGGAAUGCGCAGAUAUCAGGAAGAACACCAAUGGCGAAGGCAGCUCGCUGGGACGGUACUGACGCUGAGACGCGAAAGCGUGGGGAGCAAACAGG
rnacentral:rRNA from 1 species